rnacentral:lncRNA from 1 species
AUGUGGACAAUGUUCAUUAAUGUUAAUUUGUGUAUUAAUAAUCUGAUAAUCAGGAUGAAAUAUAAUGUUUCUCCUAUUUUUCAUGUCCAUAUAGCCUGGACAUUCGUUACCCGAUUAUCAAAAGCACUCUGGUAUAUGGAACUCCAUCUAGAGAAGUUUAAAGAGGGAGGCUUAGCCAUACCAGACAGAUUCCUGCAAUUAGGCCUUGGAUCCAACAACAGGUACCAGGAAACACGACACAAAGGCACCAAAACGAAGUCAAAAUCAGCUUCAUUGCAGUCAGCUGUCUAUUUCAAUAUCCCAGCCCUGGGCACACUGGAAUCACUUCACAGAUCUCAGAGAAGAUGUGGCGAGUCGAACAGAGUCCAUAGCAGCUGAUGCAUCCCACUGGGAGAAGGUGAAUCAAGCAAUGACCAGACGUCACCAACAGCCCACUCCCCUACGUACACCAGAGUCUGAUGUUUUAUGCUACACUGUGAGAGCACCAUGCUGACCGGUCAGCCCCCAGUAUAGCACUCUGUUACAAGCUUUGGAUAAAGUGCCCCAAUUCCACCCCCUCUUUCAACUGGACUUUGCUGCUGAAGAUAAGAUUCCAGAGAAGGAAAUGGAUUGACAACUUGAAACCGCCAUCGACUUUCACUGUAUAGAAGUAUGCCUGUGGUAACCACCUAGGCACUCUGACAUUCAAAUGGAAGGUAUCCUCACACAGCAAUGGUGUUCAUGAGACCAGGCUUCUGUCAUCUCCCCACUGUGAAAAGAAAUACCAACAUACUCCACACUAGAGCAAUGCAAAAAACAUUCCUGAAUACAUACGCACACGCUGCAAAGUGAACAGCUACUUCCUGAGAGAAAUGUAUCAGUUUCUGACAGAUGACAAGAGUUAAGCAAAUGAUGAUGAACAGGGGGCCUACUUGAUGAGAGAGUAUCCUUGUUCCUCCUUGAUGGUGAUGACCCAGACCUGAUCAUGGAUUUAAGGAAGCUGAAUGGCAAACCACAAUCCUCAUUUCAGCACUUUUGGGAUUAAGUACAAAAGUAUUUUAACGAAUACACAGCUCAGGUCAACGAUUGCAGACAUGGGGCGGCAGGUAGCCUAGUGGUUAGAGCAUUGGACUAGUAACCGAAAGGUUGCAAGAUCAAAUCCCCGAGCUGACAAGGUAAAAAUCUGUUGGCAGUUAACCCACUAUUCCUAGGCUGUCAUUGAAAAUAAGAAUUUGUUUUUAACAGACUGGCCUAGUUAAAUAAAGGUAAACAAUAUAUAAAUAUAUAUUAGUUGAGGACUUGUGUGACAAAGUGGAAAAGCGGCUUCCACCAGUAACUAAAAUCCCAUCAAUACAGUGGCUAAGACUGCAGUUUACACCCAAGAAUCCAUGGUCCAUGUCUGCUCUCCAGUACACAGGAAGGUUUGACCUCAAGUUCAUAGUCCAGUCUCGGGUGAUAAGAAAGGAACAUCAAGACUGAAAGUUUAGAACUACAUUAAAACAGUUUGCCUGCAUGUGGCAGAAGGACAGUGAAAUGUUAUGUGUGGAUGAUAAGGCAAUCAUCCCUGUCGGAGAACCUGGCCAGCCUAUAGGGACCUGUAACAGAGGCAAACAUCCAAGCAUUGCUCCUGUGAGCGGGCCAGUUCUAGCAGCUGCCGACCAUGAUUAUCACAUCAGUGGACUUGUACCAUCUGUCAUGUUGAUCCCAGGAUCUCCAUCUAGUUCAUUCUAUGAUGGGAAAGUUCAUGUCACUGUCAAGGACAAGGUUUUCUAGCCUUCCAGCCCCCUUUGAAAAUACAGUUAAAAUCUCAGCAUCCUCAGUGGAUAGAACUACAGUGAAGAUGAUGUGUCUCUCAACAAGUCAAUCUUGAUCAUUCAAUUGGAUAGUGGGCCAGACCACAGAACCACAAUUGCCUCUGUUCAAGCAUGCCACACACUCAAACCCACAAAUGCUGAUGCUCCAGAUACUCAACUAGUCUAAAGGCCAGUUUUAUUGCUUCUUUAAUCAGGACAACAGUUUUCAGCUGUGCUAACAUAAUUGCAAAAGGGUUUUCUAAUGAUCAAUUAGCCUUUUCAAAUGAUAAACUUAGAUCAGCUAACACAACGUGCCAUUGGAACACAGGAGUGAUGGUUGCUGAUAAUGGGCCUCUGUACGGCUAUGUAGAUAUUCCAUUAAAAACGAAAUCUGCCAUUUCCAGCGACAAUAGUCAUUUAUAACAUUAACAAUGUCUACACUGUAUUUCUGAUCAAUUUGAUGUUAUUUUAAUGGACAAAAAAAAUGCAUUUCUAAGUGACUCCAAACUUUUGAACGGUUGUGUAUAUCAGAGAUAAUUAUUUUGAUCAGGAAUAACGAAACUGUCACAAGUUAUACUUUAGUGUGUUUAAUUUCUCAUGGUUAUAACAUUGUAACAUCUGCAUUCUUUUUAAGAAAAAUAGUGUAGGUUUUCACAUGGAAUAUAACUCUAGAGCCCACACAGGUGCAUAGGACAAUGUGGUAAAGUAAUGUUAUUCCUUAUCCACAAAGUAUCCACAAAGUAAUGUUAUUCCUUAUCCACAUGAAAAAACACUUGCUCGCCUCACUUUUCUGUGGGGAAAAUCCAUUAAACGGUUCAUUAAUUUAGUCUGUUAUCACUUCCUCGAUUCGGCUUGUACCUGGCUCGAACUCGGGACCUCUGCUUUGCUAACACACGUGGCCUCCCUCCUUGACAACAUUCCAACGGUUUGAGCCACCCAAAAGGUACCGAUUGGAUGGCUCCAUCCAUUUAAAGCUAGCUGUGGAGUGAGCUUACGGUAUGUACUUAACUCCGUUUCAUGGGCUCACAAUGAAUUAAGUCAGACAUGUUUUCCGUCAGGAGUAUUGUUAAAAACCCUGAACAUCUAGGAAAGUCUAAGGUUGUGUUGUUGGUUGGCUCGACUAGGAAGGUUAUGUUGUAGGUUGGCCUGUUUUCCAUUCUCUCUGCAUGGGCGGGAUGUCUGUGAUCCAAUACUGGAACAGGGACACAACUGCAGUGGCAUCACCUGGAAAGAGAAGAGACAAACGUUACAUUACAGUUGAUUGCAAUCAGGAAUAGUGAGUGGUUAAAUGUUAGUUAAUGAGGUCAUUACUGCUGUUCCAUAGCGGUGAGGACAAGUAAACCUAACCUAGUUAUCCUAGGCUAAAUCCAGUAUUGUACUGCCAGUGUACUCCUAUCACCUACAGUACCUCACUGUUUCCUAACAGCUUCCCUUUCCCCCUGGGCUAUGGCUUUUAUCUGACUGUUCCGUUCAAGCAAAAAUUAAAAGGAGAUUCCAUUCACCAGGUGCAUGAAAGUCAUUAAAUAAAACUGUCAGCAGACGUCAUCCCUGAGCGAGAGGUGUUGGGUGAAACAGUGAAAUAUAAGCUGUGGGAUAUUCCUUAGCGCUGCCCCUUGGGUGAAUUGAUUCCUCCUCUCUCUCAGUUCUGAAAGGAAGCUCCAGUGAACUGUAAAAAAACGUGAAGGACUUUAAAACAGGCUAAACCAACAGCACACCGCAGGCUUACUGGGCUAAAGCAUUGGUGGCCAGAAGCAGCUGGUUUUAUUCCACUGGUGGCCAAUUCCAUUUGUGUUUAGCUCGAUGAAUACCCCACUUUGCAUUUGCCACCUAAAACAUUUAUAGUACCCCAUUGACAUUCUGUUAAAUGGAAAUGUGCUUUUAGCAAAAAAUAACAAGGGGGAAUAUUUUGCCGCUCCGACACAAUAUGCAGGUGGGAAUAGAUUUGUUUUAACAGACUAAAUGGUUAUUAGACUUCUUUAUUUCCCCUUCAAAUGACUAAUUAAGUUUCAGGGAAAUACACAAAGCUUGCCCACAUCUGGAGAGCAGGUGGAGGGACCAGCAAGAAUACACUGUGUGGUUUGAGUCUAUAGUGAGUCUAUUGUUGGAACUGAUCACUGGUUUGGACUGGAGCCUGUUUUCCUCCUCAGCGUUGCCUUAGCGACGAGAGUGGAAAGAGGAGCGUCACUAUUGCCACCUGCUCAACUGUGCCCUGAAUCCCCUGAACAGGACAGUCAUAUAACACUCCAGAAUAGUACACUCUUCCCCAGGGACAGCCAAGUAUCCACUGAUCCUAUUAGUCAAUUAGGGCUGGGAAUUGCCAGGGACCUCACGAUACAAUAUUCUAUAUGUAUUGCGAUUCAAUAUGGCGAUUUAUUGCGAUUUCAUGUUCCAAACAUAUUGGUCUGCUGCAGAGAGAAGAGAGACCAUGAUCAGUCAUGGAAAUAAAAGUGCUGUAAACAUGUUGGCUCAGGUACAGCCGACUAGCUCUAAGUAACGCAAAAAAUAUAUAUAAUAUCAUCCAAAAAUAAUAUCGCAAUAUGUAACUAUCGAUUUUCCCUCCCAUCACUAUUAGUAGGGUGUCUAAUCAAAAACGCAUCUUUUGACCAAUGGAUAAAAUAAUAUGUUAAUUGUGUUGAUGCCCCUCUAUGAAAACACAUGGUCCAAACCGCAUGUCUCUAUCAUAAUCUGUUCAAAAGUUAUUGGCGUUGCUACCCUUGUAGGAUGGCCAAAAUUAGGGUGAAUAAUUCAAUGGAGGCCAGAGGGAAAAAGUUGUCAAAUAUUUGGAAAAUAGCAUCGUGUCAGCUAAGCUGAAUGCUGUGCGAUAAUUGAGGCAAACUGACAGGCUCACUGUUGAACUCGUCCCCUUUCUUCUCAAAUCCAGAGGACAUAAAACAAUAUUGAGGUAAGCUAUAUAUCGAUUUUGAGACAUGACAUGAUAUUUUAGUAUACGCUUUUCAUAUACAUUUUUUCAAAUUUUAUUUUUUAUUUUCACCUUUAUUUAACCAGGUAGGCUAGUUGAGAACAAGUUCUCAUUUACAACUGCGAACUGGCCAAGAUAAAGCAUAGCAGUGUGAACAGACAACAACACAGAGUUUACACAUGGAGUAAACAAUUAACAAGUCAAUAACACAGUAGAA